rnacentral:rRNA from 1 species
CCCUUAGAUGUUCUGGGCCGCACGCGCGCUACACUGAUGCAUUCAACAAGCCUAGCCUUGACCGAGAGGUCCGGGUAAUCUUUGAAACUGCAUCGUGAUGGGGCUAGAUUAUUGCAAUUAUUAAUCUUCAACGAGGAAUGCCUAGUAAGCGUGAUUCAUCAAAUCGCGUUGAUUACGUCCCUGCCCUUUGUACACACCGCCCGUCGCUCCUACCGAUUGAAUGUGUUGGUGAGGAGCUCGGAUUGGCAGCAGUUGGUGGUUCGCCACCGGCUAUUGCUGAGAAGUCCUCCAAACCGCCCCAUUUAGAGGAAGGAGAAGUCAUAACA